GGGAAGGUGGCUCAGUGGUAGAGCGCUUGCCUUGCAUGCAUGAGGCCCUGGGUUCCUUCCAUUCCU
rfam:Dipodomys ordii contig_56875, whole genome shotgun sequence.